AUUGAACGCUGGCGGCAGGCCUAACACAUGCAAGUCGAGCGAGCGGCGGACGGGUGAGUAAUGUAUGGGGACUGCCCGAUAGCGGGGGAUAACUACUGGAAAGGGUGGCUAAUACCGCAUACUAUCGGAUAACCCAUAUGGGAUUAGCUAGUAGGUGGGGUAAAGGCUCACCUAGGCGACGAUCUCUAGCUGGUCUGAGAGGAUGAUCACCCAGCCUGGGACUGGGACCCGGCCCAGAGUCCUGCGGAGGCAGCAGUGGGGAAGAUUUCACAAUGGGCGCAAGCCUGAUGCGGCCAUGCGGCGUGUAUGAUGAAGGCCUUAGGAUUGUAAAGUACUUUCAGCUGGGAGGCGUUACCCGCAGAAGAAGCACCGGCUAACUCCGUGCCAGCCGCCGCGGUAAUUC
rnacentral:rRNA from 1 species